rnacentral:misc_RNA from 1 species
GUUUGUAUGAACCUUCUCUACUUUACUGAGCUUGGCUUCCUCCAUCCCCCUUUUCUUCAGCUUUCCUAUUUUCGCUCGUAGCUCCGAUGCAGUUCCCAUCAUUUCCUGGAACAUCUCAUUCACAGAAUUUUGCUCAUAUAGUUGUAAUGCUUCGUUGAAAUGAUUAAUUUGGGAGUUACUGGAAGCAGUUUGCCUUUCCAAAGCUUGUAGCUCUUGGCUCAAUACAAU